UACGGGGGGGGCAAGCGUUGUUCGGAAUUACUGGGCGUAAAGGGCUCGUAGGUGGCCAACUAAGUCGGACGUGAAAUCCCUCAGCUUAACUGGGGAACUGCGUCCGAUACUGGAUGGCUCGAGUUUGGGAGAGGGAUGCGCAAUUCCAGGUGUAGCGGUGAAAUGCGUAGAUAUCUGGAGGAACACCGGUGGCGAAGGCGGCAUCCUGGACCAACACUGACACUGAGGAGCGAAAGCCAGGGGAGCAAACGGG
rnacentral:rRNA from 1 species